rnacentral:ncRNA from 1 species
GCCGAGAGUAGAAGCGUUCAGCGGCAGAUGCACCAUCGAAAGUGCGCCGCCCGGAAAUUGCUCUUGCA